rnacentral:rRNA from 1 species
AUACGUAGGGGGCGAGCGUUGUCCGGAAUGAUUGGGCGUAAAGGGCGCGUAGGCGGCGCGGUAAGUCUGGAGUGAAAGUCCUGCUUUCAAGGUGGGAAUUGCUUUGGAUACUGCCGCGCUUGAGUGCAGGAGAGGUUAUCGGAAUUCCCGGUGUAGCGGUGAAAUGCGUAGAGAUCGGGAGGAACACCAGUGGCGAAGGCGGGUAACUGGACUGCAACUGACGCUGAGGCGCGAAAGUGCGGGGAGCAAACAGGAUUAGAUACCCUGGUAGUCCACACUGUAAACGAUGAAUGCUAGGUGUAAGAGGUAUCGACCCCUUUUGUGCCGGAGUCAACACAAUAAGCAUUCCGCCUGGGGAGUACGGCCGCAAGGUUGAAACUCAAAGGAAUUGACGGGG